rnacentral:rRNA from 1 species
AGCGAACGCUGGCGGCAGGCCUAACACAUGCAAGUCGAACGAACUCUUCGGAGUUAGUGGCGGACGGGUGAGUAACACGUGGGAACGUGCCUUUAGGUUCGGAAUAACUCAGGGAAACUUGUGCUAAUACCGAAUGGGCCCUUCGGGGGAAAGAUUUAUCGCCUUUAGAGCGGCCCGCGUCUGAUUAGCUAGUUGGUGAGGUAACGGCUCACCAAGGCGACGAUCAGUAGCUGGUCUGAGAGGAUGAUCAGCCACAUUGGGACUGAGACACGGCCCAAACUCCUACGGGAGGCAGCAGUGGGGAAUCUUGCGCAAUGGGCGAAAGCCUGACGCAGCCAUGCCGCGUGAAUGAUGAAGGUCUUAGGAUUGUAAAAUUCUUUCACCGGGGACGAUAAUGACGGUACCCGGAGAAGAAGCCCCGGCUAACUUCAUGCCAGCCGCCGCCGUAA